AGUCGUGGACCAAUAUUUGUAUCAAUCCCUACCGUUUAAGGAUUAUUCAGAGCGGUUUCUAGUUUUUAUUUUGAAAAUAAAAUAAUUAAAAUUAAUUUUCACUUAAGAUUAGCUCAAACACAUGAGCGAUAGUAAUCGUGGGCCAGCAAGGCAACAACCAUCACUACGAUGAACCAUCACAAUGACGGCCGCCUCUAACGAACACCGCUUUCAACCACAACAGCAAUCCUCCACUUGCAAUCCAGUCGGGUGGAGUUGAAAUGGGUGAUAAAUCUCCCCAAAAGUUGUAAUGCAACAGCAUUUUUAGGUUCAGAUAUGAACUCUAGACUCAGUUUAUGUUAUGCCAGAAGAGAUUUGUGUCUUAUGACCUUACAUCUGUAAUUGUUGUUAGUUUCCUUUAAGACUGACCACUGUUCUGUAGCGUACUCCUGUUAUUGGAUUCUUGCUUUAUUUAUCAUUA